CCUACGGGUGGCUGCAGUGGGGAAUAUUGGACAAUGGGGGAAACCCUGAUCCAGCGACGCCGCGUGAGUGAAGACGUAUUUCGGUACGUAAAGCUCUAUCAGCAGGGAAGAAAAUGACUGUACCUGACUAAGAAGCCCCGGCUAACUACGUGCCAGCCGCCGCGGUAAUACGUAGGGGGCAAGCGUUAUCCGGGUUUACUGGGUGUUAAGGGAGCGUAGUCGGCAGCGCAAGUCUGGAGUGAAAUGCCGGGGCCCAACCCCGGAACUGCUCUGGAAACUGUGAAGCUGGAGUGCAGGAGAGGUAAGCGGAAUUCCGGGGGUAGCGGUGAAAUGCGUAGAUAUCAGGAGGAACACCGGCGGCGAAGGCGGCUUACUGAACUGGAACUGACGUUGAGGGUCGAAGGCGUGGGGAGCAAACAGGAUUAGAUACCCGAGUAGUUC
rnacentral:rRNA from 1 species